GUUGAUCCUGCGGGAGGUUGCUGCUAUUGGAGUUCGAUUAAGGCAUGCAAGUCAGGUAGCCUCGUGCUGCCGGCAUAUCGCUCAGUAACACGUCGUUAAUCUGCCCUUAGGUCUGGAAUAACCUCGGGAAACUGAGACUAAUACCGGAUAGGAGAUAAGUUCUGGAAUGAACUAUCUUUUAAAGAUUACGCCUAAGGAUGAGACGGCGGCAGAUUAGGUAGUUGGUGGUGUAAUGGACCACCAAGCCAACGAUCUGUAGGGGCCUUGAAAGAGGAAGCCUCGAGAAGGGCACUGAGAUACUGGCCCUAGCCCUACGGGGUGCAGCAGCCGCGAGACCUUUACACUGCACGAAAGUGUGAUAAGGGAACUCCAAGUGCUUACCUUUUGGUAGGUUUUUGCCAAAAGUAAAAAUUUUGGCGAAUAAGUGGUGGGAAAGACGGGUGCCAGCCGCCGCGGUAACACCUGCGCCACAAGUGGGGACCAUAUUUAUUGGGCCUAAAGCGUCCGUAGCCGAUCUAGCAAAUUUCCUGUGAAACUGUUGUGCUUAACAUAACAACGUGCAGAAAACACUACUAGAAUUGGGACUGGAAGGAGUCAGGAGUAUGUCUGGGGGAGCGGUAAAAUGUUAUAAUCCCAGAUGGACUACCUGUGGCGAAAGCGCCUGACCAGUACAGAUCCGACGGUGAGGGACGAAAGCCAGGGGAGCAAUCCGGAUUAGAUACCCGAGUAGUCCUGGCCAUAAACGCUGCGAGCUAGGUGUUGCACCUUCUACGUGAAUGUGCAGUGUCGUAGAGAAGUCGUUAAGCUCGCCGCCUGGGAAGUAUAGUCGCAAGACCGAAACUUAAAGGAAUUGGCGGGGGAGCACUACAAGGGGUGCGGCGUGCGGUUUAAUUUAAUUCAACGCAGAGAACCUCACCAGAAGCGACGGCAGGAUGAAAGUCAGUCUAAAGGGCUUACUUGACGAGCCGAGAGGUAGCGCAUGGCCGCCGUCAGCUCAUGCCGUAAGGUGUCCUGUUAAGUCAGGCAACGAGCGAGACCUGUACCUACAAUUGCUAGCAACUAGAAAUAGGAUUGAGCACAUUGUGGGGACUGCCUUCGAAAGGAGGAGGAAGGUGCAGGCUACGGUAGGUCUGUAUGCUCCGAAUCUUCUGGGCUACACGCGCGCAACAAUGGUAAAGACAAUGGGAUGCAACUCCGAAAGGAGGAG
rnacentral:rRNA from 1 species